GAGUGUCACGUUAUCAUGUCUUGUCAUUGACAUCUCAUUGUCAUGUCAUCACCUUCAAUAACGUGACAUUGAUAUGUCACUGAUUAGGCAUGAUGAUGUGACACUCCGU
rfam:Glycine soja cultivar W05 scaffold69_21, whole genome shotgun sequence.